GACGAACGCUGGCGGCGUGCUUGACACAUGCAAGUCGAACGGAAAGGCCCUGCUUUUGUGGGGUGCUCGAGUGGCGAACGGGUGAGUAACACGUGAGUAACCUGCCCUUGACUUUGGGAUAGCUUCAGGAAACUGGGGCUAAUACCGGAUAGGAGCUCCUGCUGCAUGGUGGGGGUUGGAAAGUUUCGGCGGUUGGGGAUGGACUCGCGGCUUAUCAGCUUGUUGGUGGGGUAGUGGCUUACCAAGGCUUUGACGGGUAGCCGGCCUGAGAGGGUGACCGGCCACAUUGGGACUGAGAUACGGCCCAGACUCCUACGGGAGGCAGCAGUGGGGAAUAUUGCACAAUGGGCGGAAGCCUGAUGCAGCAACGCCGCGUGCGGGAUGACGGCCUUCGGGUUGUAAACCGCUUUCGCCUGUGACGAAGCGUGAGUGACGGUAAUGGGUAAAGAAGCACCGGCUAACUACGUG
rnacentral:rRNA from 1 species